UACGGGGGAGCAAGCGUUGUCCGGAAUCAUUGGGCGUAAAGCGCGUGUAGGCGGCCCGAUAAGUCCGCUGUGAAAGUCCAGGGCUCAACCCUGGAAAGCCGGUGGAUACUGUCGGGCUCGAGUCCGGAAGAGGCGAGUGGAAUUCCUGGUGUAGCGGUGGAAUGCGCAGAUAUCAGGAGGAACACCAAUGGCGAAGGCAGCUCGCUGGGACGGUACUGACGCUAAGGCGCGAAAGCGUGGGAGCAACAGG
rnacentral:rRNA from 1 species